rnacentral:rRNA from 1 species
UACGUAGGGCGCAAGCGUUGUCCGGAAUUAUUGGGCGUAAAGAGCUCGUAGGCGGCUUGUCACGUCGGAUGUGAAAGCCCGAGGCUUAACCUCGGGUCUGCAUUCGAUACGGGCUAGCUAGAGUGUGGUAGGGGAGAUCGGAAUUCCUGGUGUAGCGGUGAAAUGCGCAGAUAUCAGGAGGAACACCGGUGGCGAAGGCGGAUCUCUGGGCCAUAACUGACGCUGAGAUACGAAAGCGUGGGUAGCAAACAGG